rnacentral:rRNA from 1 species
AUUGAACGCUGGCGGCAGGCCUAACACAUGCAAGUCGAACGGUAACAGUAAGAUUCUUGCUUCUUUGCUGACUAGUGGCGGACGGGUGAGUAAUGUCUGUGAAACUGCCUGAUGGAGGGGGAUAACUACUGGAAACGGUAGCUAAUACCGCAUAACGUCGCAAUACCAAAAAGGCGGACCUUCGGGCCUCUUGCCAUCGGAUGUGCCCAGAUGGGAUUAGCUAGUAGGUGGGGUAACGCCUCACCUAGGCGCCGAUCCCUAGCUGGUCUGAGAGAAUGACCAGCAACACUGGAAAUGAGAAACGGUCCAGACUCCUACGGGAGGCAGCAGUGGGGAAUAUUGCACAAUGGGCGCAAGCCUGAUGCAGCCAAGCCGCGGGUAUGAAGAAGGCAUUCGGGUUGUAAAGUACUUUCAGCGGGGAGGAAGGGAGUAAAGUUAAUACCUUUGCUAAUUGACGUUACCCGAAGAAGAAGCACCGGAUAACUCAGUG